rnacentral:lncRNA from 1 species
UUUUUUUUUUUUCUGCUUUAUCUCCCCAAACCCCCCCUGUACACAGUUGUAUAUCUUAGUUGCAUGUCCUUCUAGUUGUGGAAUGUGGGAUGCCACCUCAACAUGGCCUGACGAGCGGUGCCAUGUCCGUGCCCAGGAUCCGAACCCUGGGCCGCCGCAGUGGAGCGCGCGAACUUAACCACUUGGCCACAGAGCCGGCCCCACAUUCUUAUUUCUGAUACAACAAGGUGCUCUAGGUUCAUCUUUCCCUGCCCCGACCCUGGAGUCAGGCAGUUCUCCAAAGAAUCACUGGAGAAACGUCAUUCUCCUUUUAUCGGAGAAUGAUAUUUAGAAACCAAGAUCUGGGCGCUUGGGGCGUCAUUUCUUCUGGGCCUCUCUGUGGACAGAGCAAGGAAACGUCUGUAUACUAACGGAUGUGUGGACACGUGUCUAUAGCGUUUUCAUCUGUCAUCUGUCCACCUCCGUCUAUUAAACUAGACAUGAUUUGUCCUGAUGUCUCUGACUCGACUCCAUUCCUACAGGGCACUUCCAGCCUCCUCCCUUUGCUUAUCUGCAACUUCUUUCUCUGACAUCGAGAGACCCGGCUCCCAUGUCUGCCAUUUAUUUACUUAUUUGUUCAACUCCAGCAUCAAUGUAACAUACAUGCAGGGUUAGUACCUCCUACUCCUGUGAAAAACAAAUUUACAGACUAGAGUUCUGCGUUUACAUACAGUUCUUUUUGUCUUUAGUUUCCAGUCAAAAUACCAAAAUUACUUUGGUCAGCUUCUACUUUUUUAUCCACACCAUGUAUGAAGUUAUGUCAUACAUUUGUAAUUCGGUUAGAUUUAUCAGUCAUAUUCCAUUCUAGGCUUCUGUUUUAAAUUUUCUUACAUUAAAGUUCACCCUUCAUGAUGUGUGGUUCUAGGGAUUUUGACAAAUGCGCAGUCAUGUAUCUGCUACCCCUGGGCCGUACAGAACAGCUCCGUCACCCUGAAAGUUCCCGUGCGCGCACCCUGUGCCGUCAAUCACCCCUUUCCAUCCUCUGGCAACCUCUGCUCUGCUUUCUGUCCUCGGAUUUUGCCUCUUCCAGAACGUCAGCUGAAUGGAAUUAAACAACAUGUAACCUUUUGAGUCGGGCAUCCUGCACUUGGGAAAAUGCGUUUAAGAUUUGCCCGUGUUGUUCUGUGUAUCAGUGGCUUAUUCCUUGUUGUUCUGUGUAUCAGUGACUUAUUCCUUUUUAUCUCUGAUAAACAGGUGCUGUUCCAAGUGCUUUAUACAUUCACCUCGCUUAAUCCUCCCAACACCCCUGCGAGGGAGGGUUCAUGACCUCCAUUAUCUUCAUUUUGCAGGAUACUCUUUGAUUUGGAUCCCAGAAUGAUGUCUUUCUACAACCAAGUGACACCACUUGGUACACGCCCCAACAAAGCAGGAGUGACAGAAGCCUGGACACCAGCGGGGUUUUCCUUCCAACAUCUGAUAACCAUAGGUCAACCGGCACAACCAGUAGGCCGCCCUGUGCAUGGAAGGUGUUCUGUUUCACUGGUCUCUUAGCCACCAUCACCACCACCAACAAUAGCGGUGGUGGCAGCAGCAACAACACCCGUCGAGUGUUGAUGUCUCGGGCACUGUUCUAAGUGCUGUGUGUUUAGUCCUCACAGCUACCAGUGAAGUGUGUAUGAUUACUAUCCACGUUUUACAGAUGAGGGUACCAAGGCAGACAGUGUUAGUCUUUUCUGUGUCUCAUCACAGAUCGUAAGUGGCAGGAGGGGAGUCCAGCCCAGACAGUCCAGCUCUGGAGUCCACUCCAGCAAACCCUAACCACGGGAGCUUUGGGUCUCCAUGCCACCUGUGCAUUCGCUGCCCUCCCUGGGUGGUGCCGUGGCUCUGGCGCUGAGGCCUGUGAUGACGGCGGGGCAUCCUCGGCCAGGGUGUCUAGUCUGCUGUUGUUCAUACCACCCUUCCCGUCAGGUAGCAGGUCAAAGCAAUGCGCCCCACACUCUUUGAACAGCCCCUCUCUGAUCACACCCCACGUUAUUCACAGGUGUCUCAGGUGGGGAGUUUUCCUCCUCAGAUGUCUCUGUGUCACCUUCCUUGGGCCUAUUCUCCUUCUCUGUGUACUGUCCACAGUGUCCCACCUUGAGGCUGUCAGAUAGAGGUGCUCUCCACCUCUCAGUUCUUUCUUGCUGCCAGCGAUGUUCAGAUUUCAUGCCACCAUUAAGUAUCCCUCCCAUGGCUCUUAGAACCACACCUACGCAUCACCCUGGUUUGUUCCUGCUGUUCUUGCUGUGGGGUGCACAGUGGUUGACCAGAGCUCCUCCAGCAGCUGCUGCAGCUGAGCUACACGCUGCAUGGUGAGUUCUCCAUCUCCACUGCUCAACCGUGGAUCCCCCCAGCCCUGCUAACUGGAGAGAAGCCCACGGACAUCAUCGACUGGAAACCUCCCUAAAGCGUAGGUGCAUCCAGAAACAGUACAGCUGGUUGCCAAAUCCUUUUGCUAUAGCGGUGUGUUCUCCAACACAAUCAAAAGUCAGAAAGGAUGUGUCAGGGAUGGGUCCCUCCAAGGAGUCUCUGUGAUUCUACCUCCAAAUCUCUGGAACGCUUCACACAGUGGCUGCCUCUUGAAAUAGUUCCCCUGAUCGGAAAUUACAUACCUAAGACAAGUUUUUAUAAAUCAAGAAUUUCAGACAUCUCUCCUUGAGGCAAGGCGACUUGCAUUUUCCUUUUCUGUAUAUAAAAGGCUGUGGUCCUACCUCCUCACCCUCCUCAGGUGUGGACCCUGCCCGCAGGAUGUUGCCUCUGACUGCACAGACUCCUCCUGCCCCCACCAGCCGCCUCCCUUCCUCUCAUUCAUUCACAUACACCGCCGCCCACUCAGUCCCUCAUGCGUGGAGUUGGCUGGGUCGUUCCACGCUACUGUUCCCUUGCUUUAAAUCAAAACACUAUCGUCUAGCUACUAAUUAUGUGCAUCUUAGGACAACUCUAACCAUGUCUUCACUACUUAAUUUCUUCAUACUUUUUUUUUUUAAGAUUGGCACCUGAGCUAACAACUGUUGCCAAUCUUUUUUUUUCGCUUUUUUUCUGCUUUAUUUCCCCAACCCCCCUGUACAUAGUUGUAUAUCUUAGUUGCAGGUCCUUCUAGUUGUGGCAUGUGGGACACUGCCUCAACGUAGCCUGACAAGCGGUGCCAUGUCUGCGCCCAGGAUCCGAACCCUGGGCCGCCGCAGUGGAGCGCGCGAACUUAACCACUCGGCCACGGAACCGGCACCAAUUUCUUCAUACUUUUAUGUUCAGUUUCACUAACUAAUCUGUCAGCUCUUUGGGACCAGAGAUCAUGGC